UACAGAGGGGGCAAGCGUUAUUCGGAUUCACUGGGCGUAAAGGGUGCGCAGGCGGCCGUGUGUGUAAGGUGUGAAAUCCCGGGGCUCAACCCCGGAACUGCGCCUUAAACUACAUGGCUAGAGUACUGGAGAGGGUAGCGGAAUUCACGGUGUAGCAGUGAAAUGCGUAGAUAUCGUGAGGAACACCAGAGGCGAAGGCGGCUACCUGGACCGACACUGACGCUGAGGCGCGAAAGCUAGGGGAGCAAACGGG
rnacentral:rRNA from 1 species